AUGAAGCACGCAGCCGGGAUCCGAAGCUCUUCAAGGCGACGCCCCAAAGAGGGAAGUGACGAUGUCGACGCCGUCACCCGAACCAACCGGGCCUUAGGCUUUCACCCGAAGACCAAGAUCCGAGGGUGUAAGAGGAUGCCGGACUCCACAACGACGCCUCCAAGGUGGUUAAACGACGUCCAUAGACGCCGACGCCGCCGGCCGGCAAGACCAGCCAAGCUUUCGCCCGGGGUAUCCCCAACACCACCAACACCCUCACGCACUGCACCUUCGCUGACCCGCCCACCUCUCGCAGUGCCACCGCGCCAGCAGCACCAGAGAGCCACCAAGCACUUCAUCUCCCCGCCGGUCAAGAAGACGCAGACGGGCCAGAUCCGGCCGAUCUGGCAUCCCACCAACGCAGCGCCGAGCAGGAGCCACCCGAGGCCACCAGGCCACCGGCCCGACCAGGGACGCGCCCCACAAGGCAGGUGA
rnacentral:rRNA from 1 species